GUUCCCGAGGGUGAUGGACGACCCACGUAAGGGCCCCAUCAGAGGUCCAUGGCGGCGGCGACGGGGGCGCGGGCGCGUCACGCUAAUGCGGGCGGGUGGAACCAGCAGAGAUGUAGGAGAUGGAGCAGUCCACCGCGAUGGAGGUCGACCAAGGUAAGCCCUCUUGAGUUCCUGAACUUGGUCGGGGAUUUGGUGGCGGACCGGCGGCAGGUUUACACACUACAGGAAGCAAAGGCUUCGGUUUCUGAUUAGUGCGUGCACAAGGGAUGGAUGGAGUCCUGGAUGGAUAGGGUGCCACACGAUAGGGUUCUGUGGUUCAGAUUUUUUAAAAGUUUUUAUUUUGCAAAAACAAAACCUAAAAAAAAAACUUUAACAUAAAGGUCCAGAUUUAUUGAAACCAGUAAAUCUAAUAUGUCUCAUCGGUACGGAGAAAUUAAUAACAGCAAAUCGAAACAAAUCGGCAAUUUUUCAAAAUAAAAAAAAAAUCUGUAAGAACAUAACAUAGAGGUUUAUUACGUAGUACUUCCUUCCUCCCAUAUCAAGUGUCGAAAUAUUACAUGUAUGUAGACAUAUUUUAGUAUAUAUAUAUACUUAUUUUUAGACAAAUUUGAGUCAAAUAUGGAACGGAGGGAGUACUAUAAACCAAAUCCCAUCGAAGUAACGGCGCUAUGGAGAUAACAUAAAGGUUUGUUACGUGGUAUAGACCAAAUCUCAUCGGUUUGUACGUGCAAACAAAAAACUCCGCAUAAUAAGAAGUUAACGUCGCUACAAAGAAAAAAUUAUAAGAAGUUAAUGUCGGUACGGAGAUAUGGAAAUUGAUUUCGGAUAGGUACCAAGUAGAAAAAAAAUCAGAAAUACAAACAAAUUUGAUGUGAUCGGCAUGGAGCAAUCUACAUCUGCCGACGGGUAGCAGCACCCUCGCAUGAAAACGCCAGCUGAAAUCUAAUCUACCAUAGGCACAACAAUUCCACAACCACGACCGCAAUCGAAUACCUAAAGUCAAACAAACUCUCUCCGCUCGCCGUCAAAAGCAGCAAAAACACCAGAAAAAACACAAUGGAAUAAAGGAGAUUUCGUGUGGAACAUCAGCUAAAAGAGAAUCUGAAAAAUUAUACAGACACAGAUUGGGCUGGAUAAAAAAAUGCUUAUUGCAUCAUCAAUAUCGAAAUAAUAAUUUAUAUGAUUAAAAAGUCUAUAUGUGAUGUUUAAAAGAGCACUUUUUAAAUGAUAAAAAGAAUUGCCAUGCAAAUAAUGCAGACACUGGUAAUAAAAUACGACUCUCAUAGUAAAACAUGUAAUGACUACCUAAUUUAUAAUAUAAUCGAUGUGAUAUGAACUUAAACCAAUCUAAUCACCCAGACCAUCCAGUCUUAUCAUUCAGAAAAUUAAUAUCACCAAAAAGUAAAUAUAAAAAACAAAUAUUCCAGACUCAUUAAACAAGUCUAAAAUGCAUGCAAAUAUAAUACACUUAAACUUCAUGCAAAAUUAAUUUAUUAAAAAUACUUAUAAAAUUAUUUCAUUAUACAAGUCUAGCCGCGCAAUAUGCGAGGGUCACCCUGCUAGUUUUUUUUCCCUAUUGCAAGUACUCUACUUUUUUUUUCGAGGGAGUUUACAGGGCUCCACUUUUUUUUUGAGAGAGUAGUGAUUUUUUCGACAAGAAAUUAAUAAUAAUGAUUUAAUAGUAGCACAAGGUUUCCGUAUUUUUCAUUUGAUCGAUCGAUCGUACGCCCGGUUUGCCUAUCAAACUACCACCAGCAAAUCGCGCCGAUCUUACGGCCCCGAGCAGCUUAACUCUAGGAACGUCUCCCCGUAGAAACGUAUUGGAUCCGUUAGAGCUGAAGCAAAAGCAAAAACCGCCGUGAGUCACUGUACCCAAACAGAACACCCUGCACCGAUCGAAGCACCGUACCGUGCACAUCGCCAGCCGGUGCCAGGAACCCAGGGCAGGAGUCAGGAGUGCAUGUUUUGGCUUGGCACGCCCGCCGGUCUGCAGGUCACGUCUUGCACGCUUUGUGUUUCUGACCCUGAGAGCCCCGGCCCCCAGAUGAUAGCCGGUUCCAUGUUCCUCCUCCGCGCCGGCCGGUCGAGAAGGCCUCCAAAAAAAGAACCAAACCAAACAUGCCAAUCAAAUUGCAAAAAUUAGAUAGGACAUGCAAGGCAGAAGCCGUCGAAUUUCCAAGGUCAUCCAGAUCACACGGGUGAGGUGGCUGUACGUCCUGGGUAGCUAGCUGUCCGACGUGUCGAGCGUAAUGGCGACGCGAUGUGCUCUGCCGUGCAGAUUCAGCCGCUGCCCCGUUGCAUUCGACCGGAAACACACACUGUCUGGAGUGUGGAUCGACGUUGGAGUCGUGGGCUAACACAACGGGACCAUUCUUGUUAGUAGCAGUAGCAGCACUGCUUGAUUGAAUCAUUUGAAUGUGGUCUCGGGAGUGGGUGUUAUUGAAUGGCCGAUCCCCGCAGAUCCCAGCCCCACCGGCCCCGGGCGGGCCAACAACGGGGCGGCAGUAGUAGUUCGUUCGUUGUACCGGCCCAUGCACAACACAUGCCACCCCCUGCUCUGUUCAUCCGUCGUCAACAUGCUGUCCUGCUCUUCAAUUCGAUCGCGUCAGAUAUAUAUAUUCCGCCAACGCCAAGGUGAUGUCGAUGCUAACCGCUCGCUGCUCAUCUCAUCAGUUUUUGAAUCUCGAAAAGCUCUUGUUGAUUUGGGCCCGUUUGGAACCCAGGGAUUUCCCCGGUUCCAAAUUUCGUGGAAUUCCUGGCGGGAUUAAGAGUUGGAAGGAACCACAGCAAAUUUACAGAAUUCUUGGCCAGAAAACAGAUUCAGCUCCCCGGAGGUACACUAUACAAGGAACGGAGGAGAAAGCGGACAUGACUACGUGAGGGGCUAACAACUACUGUACAAGGCUGAAGUGAGCCAUGUCAAGAUCUAGAGGCACCAAAACUGCCAUGAAAUGGACCAUGGCAUGGCAACAGCAUGGACUGACUAAUC